GGUUUGGUCCUGACUUUACUAUAAGCUUUAACCCAAUUUAUACAUGCAAGUAUCCGCACCCCUGUGAGAAUGCCCUCAAUCCCCCUACCGGGGACAAGGAGCCGGUAUCAGGCACACUAUUUAAGCCCAAGACACCUUGCUUAGCCACACCCCCAAGGGAAAUCAGCAGUAAUAAACAUUAAGCCAUAAGUGAAAACUUGACUUAGUUAAGGUUAAAAGGGCCGGUAAAAUCCGUGCCAGCCACCGCGGUUAUACGAAAGACCCCAGUUUAUAGAAACGGCGUAAAGGGUGGUUAAAGAAAAAAAUAAAAUAAAGCUAAAGAUCCCCUAAGCAGUCAUACGCUCCACGGAGACACGAAACCCAAAUACGAAAGUUGCCUUAAAUAAAAAUUUCCUGACCCCACGAAAGCUGAGAAACAAACUGGGAUUAGAUACCCCACUAUGUUCAGCCUUAAAUUUAGAUGAAAACUUUACAAAAUCAUCCGCCAGGGGACUACAAGCACAGCUUAAAACCCAAAGGACUUGGCGGUGCCUCAGAUCCACCUAGAGGAGCCUGUUCUAGAACCGAUAACCCCCGUUAAACCUCACCACCCCCUUGCCCUUCCCGCCUAUAUACCGCCGUCGCCAGCCUACCCUGUGAAGGCCCAAUAGUAAGCAAAAUGAGUUCAACCCAAAACGUCAGGUCGAGGUGUAGCGCAUGAAGUGGAAAGAAAUGGGCUACAUUUUCUAACACAGAAUACUACGAAUUAUACCCUGAAACGGGUAUCUGAAGGAGGAUUUAGCAGUAAAAAGUAAAUAGAGUGUACUUUUGAAUUAGGCUCUGAGGCGCGCACACACCGCCCGUCACUCUCCCCAUCAACACCAACUUAACUAUUUCUAAUAUUAAAAUAAUAAUUACGGGGAGGCAAGUCGUAACAUGGUAAGUGUACCGGAAGGUGCACUUGGAAUAUC
rnacentral:ncRNA from 1 species